GACGAACGCUGGCGGCGUGCUUAACACAUGCCAGUCGAACGGGCCUUGUCCCCUUUUUUUUUGGGGGUGGGGUUAGUGGCGAACGGGUGAGUAACACGUGAGUAACCUGCCCCUCACUUCUGGAUAACCGCUUGAAAGGGUGGCUAAUACGGGGUGUUCUGGCCUGCUCGCAUGGGUGGGUUUGGAAAGAUUCGACCGGUUUGGUUGUUUUGGUGGGGGAUGGGCUCGCGGCCUAUCAGCUUGUUGGUGGGGUGAUGGCCUGCCAAGGCUUUGACGGGUAGCCGGCCUGAGAGGGUGGGCGGUCACACUGGAACUGAGACACGGCCCAGACUCCUACGGGAGGCAGCAGUGGGGAAUAUUGCACAAUGGGCGCAAGCCUGAUGCAGCGACGCCGCGUGAGGGAUGGAGGCCUUCGGGUUGUGAACCUCUUUCGCCAGUGAAGAAGGUCCUGCUCUUUGUGGUGGGGUUGACGGUAGCUGGGUUAAUGAAGCGCCGGCUAGCUACGUG
rnacentral:rRNA from 1 species